AUUGGAGUGACAUUUGAAUAAUCUGAAAUUUUUAGAUUUCUUUUCUCACUUUUUUGGGAGGUUUUGCUUCUCUUGCACAGAUGUCGUUUGCACUUCAGUUGCGUGGUUGCCAAACGUUAUAUCGAAAUAUAUUUCAUUUCAUUAUGAAUAUAUAAAAUUAAAGGUAUACCAAAUUAAAAAUUAUGUAAUUUAUAAACAUGAAAUAGAUAUGUUAAAUUAAUAUAUAAAUAUUUAACUUAAUACGUUCAUUAUUAUUUUAUUAAUUUAUCGUCACACGUCAUUUACCAGUUGCCUAAUUACGAAAAGUUUCAUAUGACAUUAACCUCAAAAAUGAUCUUUGAAAACAAACAACAACAAAUAGAGCAACAAAUGAACAAAUAACUACAUAAUGACUGAUAAUGAUAAGUGAUAAUAAUAACUUUAAUGAUAUGAAGGCUGAUAAAGGUAAUUAUAAACAUUAUUUUGAGUUUGUUUAAUAAAAUAUAGGAUACAAUAUAACUAAGCAAAAUCAAACAGUUUUAGACAACCAAUACAAGAUUUAGAAAUUGACAACAAAUUGUACAUUCAGGAACUCGUUUAAAUAUUAUAGGUUGAUUGACGAAUACUCUACAGUUGAUUAGAGCCCAUGAUGAUGCGAAGAUAAUUAAUAUCACCUAACUUCAAGAAACCAGCGUAAAGAAGUUUACAUUCAUAACUCAUCUAACCAUUAUAGGUAAUAAUUUACAAAAUUAGCCAUUUUUGAUUAUAAUAUUAAGGUACUUAGGUACAUUUUUAUCUUCUAGAUCAGUAAUGUCGUCAUAAUUUAAAUGAACUCACAGAUAGCAAUGGGGCACUGCACCGAAGCAGUAUUACAAAAUAUGUGAAAUAAAACUGUAAUACAAAUUGCUCUAUAAAAUUUAAUAGAAAUAAAUUUAUUUAUGAAAAUUAAGUUAUGAAGUUUUAUUUUUCCUAGGAAAAAAAUAACAUUUAUAUUUUGAUCAAUUUAGAACAUUACAGUUAAAAAAAUAUGUGUUAGAAUAACAUAUUUUUAAUAAAAUUGCAGCUUUUAAUUUUUAUACUUUUUUGCUUUUAUAUCAAUAAGAACUAACGUAAGGAACAAUUCAUAUUUAUACUAUGAAAACACAUGCAUAUUUUUUGAUGUUUUUAAAACCAGUGAAUGAUGUUGAAAUAUACUACACCUAUUAUUCUUAUUAACUAACUUUAAUUACAAACUUACACAUUAUUGUCAUUGGAAAUAAAUUAAUUUGGAUAUUCUA